rnacentral:tRNA from 1 species
AUUACUUUGACAGAGUGUAUGUAAUAAAUUUAGAAUUUAUUUAAGUAAAUAAAAAUUACAAGUAAUA